AACGCGAAGAACCUUACCUGGGCUUGAAAGGUCGUCUAAACAGGUGAAAGCCUGCUACCCGCAAGGGGGGCGAUACAGGUGCUGCAUGGCUGUCGUCAGCUCGUGCCGUGAGGUGUUUGGUUAAGUCCAGCAACGAGCGCAACCCCUGAAUUUAGUUGCCAGCACGUAAUGGUGGGAACUCGCAGGAGACCGCCAGCGAUAAGCUGGAGGAAGGUGGGGAUGACGUCAAGUCCUCAUGGCCUUUAUGUCCAGGGCUACACACGUGCUACAAUGGCCGGUACAAUGCGCUGCUAAGUCGCAAGACGGAGCCAAUCGCAAAAAACCGGUCUCAGUUCGGAUUGCAGGCUGCAACUCGCCUGCAUGAAGCUGGAAUCGCUAGUAAUGGCAUAUCAGAACGAUGCCGUGAAUACGUUCCCGGGCCUUGUACACACCGACGCGUA
rnacentral:rRNA from 1 species